CGCGGGGGCGGCGGGGGCUGCCGGGCGCGCAGGAGCCGGCAGCCGGGAGAGCCGGAGCGCAAGCGAGUGUGCAAGCCCUUAGAAGCUGUUCCAAAUGAGGUCGAUGCUCGCCUCAUUGACUGUGCUAUGGAGCUGGAUUCUAAACAGAAAGCCUCCUCUGGCUGUGGUCCUUGGGCUACAAAGACAAAGCAAAACUCAAUGAUUUUUGAAAACCAAGGAAGCAGAGGUACUGCCCAGCCUUGCCCAAGAUGUAUUGCUGGAGAAUCUGGACACUUCAGUCAUAUCCUGGGCUGCUAGAGAUGGACAGACAGCAGAUAAGCAGUGCUGCUUUCCCUGUUAGGUUCUGGAAACUGCAUCUGUGAGCAGUGUACAGCUGGAGUAGGUUCACUCAUGGCAAACGUUCUGCACACUGCUCUGUGUUACCCUUCCAUCACACAGUUGGAUGCCACUGUUUUUACUCUUGAAAAAACGCUUUUGUACUUAAGGUAUCUCAUAUGUAUGAAAAGAUAUGUAUUUGGUUUGACUUUUUGGAGCAGUUAAGCUGAUUUGGUCUUUGGCCCAGUCUUCACCUGGCCCUGGGCCAAAGGUCAUGCUGAUACAAGGUGUUUCACUGUCUCACUUGGGCACUUUCUCUCAUACUCUUGGAGGUUGUCCUUGUGUUCACAUUGGUACCGGGCCUGCACUUUUAGCUCAAUUGUAUAUAAGCAGGCAGAAAUGGGAGGACUCUUCGGUUCUACACAAAGAGCUGAUCAGCUUGACAGCUAUGCAAAGGCCAGUAAAAACCCUAUUGAAACUUACUUUGUUGUAAAAUCCAGAAUAUGCAUCCAUUUCAGGUAUCUUUCCUACAUGCCAAACUCUUACUUGAUUUACAAUAAGCACAGUUUGUGAAUGUGACAGGUAACUAUCUGAAAUAAAAAAGUCAGUAUUAUUUGAACAACGUUAUUAUGCAAAGGUGAGUGGUGCUUCAGAUCUACACAGUCCUCUCAAAUUGCUGAAGAUACCAUCUGAUGCUCUGGGAUUCCUUCUUUCCAACCGUUGUGAUGCUAGAACAAGUCUGUUUCAGCUUGUUACCCAACUUGAUCUUAGUGGCUUGCCACAGAUAAUUUAAUCAACAUUUGAGCAGUCUGCAGGCCUGUGUAAUUUUUAAACACCUGCAGGUUUUAAACUCUUAAGGUAUCCAAGUUGUGUUAUUUGGAUGUGACACUUCACUGGCUGCUCUGGAAUGGAGCUGGCUGCUGUUCAGAACAGAAUAGCAGUGCUUACCCUCUGCACUGGAUGGAAAUGGCUGUGACCCGCCAAAGUUCAGGAAGAAAGCAAUCUCCCCUGUCAGGAGAAGUGUCCCCUGUUCCUAUGGAGCCUUUGGGCAGGGUUCAGCCCACCAGGCAGGCAGAGCAGCUUCCAGCCUCUCCUGCUCUGAGGGCAGGCACUACUCAGUGUAGAUUAAAAUGGUAGCUCUGAAGCUGCAAAAAUCUAGUAACAGGCUUUUAAAGGUCACUAUCCCAGUGGCAUUUAUCACACUGUAAUAUUCUUAGAGAAAUCUUAUCAUAGUCCUAGAACACUUCCCAUAUUGUGUGUGGAGUUGUAGCUAGCACUGAGUUGACUUUUAUUAACAAGAUAAUCUUCCUAAAUAGAUGAAUAUCAUAUGAAUACUGAAUUCAGUUAAGCGACAGAUGGGGAGAUAAGUUUAUUAAGCAGAGCUGCACUAAAUUGGCAUCCAGAAAGUUUGGUUAGGAAAGAAUGAAUAUCCUCCAAUCCCAUACAAAUUUUAGUUCCCUUGGAAAUAAAUCAUGGCAAAGUGGGAUUGGAUCGGAUGAUCUCCAGAGGUUCCCCUGAUCCCUGUGAUUCUGUGGUUCUGCCAGCUGUUUCAAACACCCCACAGUUUCCUUCAGUGAUAGAAGCAGUACAGUCUGCUCAAAGAUCAGAUCACUGAGAAGCACAAUGGUUUUAGAAGGUUGUGUUACCUUGAAGGUAAGAAAUUCAUCUUGAGCUCUCCAGCUCCCAGUUCAGGUUGAUACAAGCAGUAGUAUCUAUCCAUGCUAGAAAGGAACAUAUGCUCAGUUGAAAUGAUAGUAGUGCCUGAGCAAAUUCCCAUAUCCUGACAGUACAGUUUAUCAACUGGUGCAAAAUGGCAAUGUAAAAUGGUUUCUAAAGACACUGCUUGCUCUGCAAUAGCAUAUUUGUUACUGGGCAGCCAGGCUAUGCUUUGUUGGCAGUUCAUUUUAACAAGAUUUUCCAGUUGUUUUUUUACAAAUCCUGGUAGCAAUGUCAGCCAGGAAAAAAAAGAUGGCUGAGCUUCAGUUUCUGUGCUGUAAAAACUGAAAUAGUUACUCUGAAUGUAGAAGGCUGAAAGGUAUCUAAAAGUUUAGGCACUGCAAAAUGACUCAGAACCUAUUGGGUGCAACUGAGUUCAAUGCUUGAACGCAGCUGUUAGCAGAACAGUACGUAGUCAAAAUUUAAGGUCUCUUAAGAAGAGAAAUUACGUCUGGACUUGGUCUUGGGGAAGUUUUCUGCUGGAAUACACUGGACCGAAGAAGCACCAUAUUGUUUUUAAUGCACGAGCAAUACACUAUGAACCAUCACACCGAGAGGAUGAUUUUCCAUUUAAAUGGAUCGCAGUGCAUAUAUUUCUUCUGUUAGCUGAAAGCCUGACUGUAUUUUAGUCAAUAGAAUACAGUCAGAAUGAGAACUAAUUGAUUCUCUUUACAAUCCCUGUAGCUCCUAUCACGCUCUUUGCAAUCCUUCUCCUUUCAGAGUAACCAUUACUUGGUUUUUGUAAGGUGCCACCAUACAUAACUCCCAGGGUUGGUCAUAGUUCCUCCUGGCUGCAUCACAGAGCCCUGAUGAAGUCACACUCUGUUCGAUUUUAAUGCAAUUUCUUCAUAUCAGUCUUCUCAUUGUUACUGUGCACUGUGCAGGUAUUUUAUUACCCUGUCCACAGUGACUCUCAGCUCUGUCCUUGGAGAUUACUGCAUCUCUACAGCUCAAGAAAAUAGUAGAACUCUGUACUAUUUUUAACCUGCAGUGUGAACAUGGGCCCGUGGUACCUUCUUUGCACUGCUCGAAAUGUAAUGCUGCAUUUUAUAUCAGAUCUAAUUGAUCAGUAGCUGUUAUUUGUGUGAAUAGUUUGAAUAUCUAAAUGCUAUAGAAAAGAAACCACCCUCCGCAUAAACUUCAAAGUGAAUCCUUAGGAAGGAUGUGAUUGCUUGCCCCAUGCCUUUCAAUGGGCAAGAUGCAUUUAUGAAUCAGCAACGACACAAAUGAGUUGCAGCUGAAAUAGCUCAGCAGAGUGAAGACCUGCUAUUUUAUUCCAUAGCUGUGCUGUAUUUGUGGUCUCGGAGCAGUGCUGCAGCAGGUGCAGCUGAGGGCCGUGCAGUUGGGGGUGGUGAAUGUUCCUUUAAAGCAGAUGGGUGUCAGAUCUGCAGCAAAACCUCAGAACUAUUUUUGUAGGACUUUUCUUCACCUUGUACAGCUGCGACGUUUUGGUUUGUUGAUAAAUAUGAUUCUUUAUCUUUCUUAAUGCUGUGGUUUGAGCACAAAAUAACCUAAAAUAUACUUUAUUUAGGUGUAUAUAGUAAAACAAAGCAUACGGCCAGUUUUUAAUGCAGAUAAAAAUGAUACCAUAUUUUUAACUUUGUAUUUUAUAAGUUGUUGCAAAAGCAGAAGCAUUAAACCCACCUUUGGCUACAGUACCAACCGUCUGGUUUUGUUCUGCCAUUAAUAAUUGCAUCGUGUUCUGCAGGCACUGAGGCACCAAGGUAUAUGCUAUGGAGCUUCGUUUGUGCAACGUAGCCCACCUGGUUCUUCCCCUCACUGCCCAAAAACAUGAAUGAUACACAGAAUCAAUAUUUUGAAACGACAUAAUUCCUCUGCAGGUUUGGCAUAAUGGAGAGUUAAACACUACCAUUUCUCGACUCAUCUCCAUCUGCCUUUCCAGAUUUUGUUUUUCCUCACCUAAUUGGAGCACUUUAGGGUCAGAACUGUGGGUUUAGGUAGAAAUGGAGGUGUCCGGACAGCCUUAUGAAUCUAAGCUCUAAUCUCCUUAGAUCUCAUUGCUUUAUGUAGAUUAACACUCUGCUCCAUAGCUGCGUGGUUCCAAAGCAAAUCCCUCAGCCAGCGCUGCACACUGUGCACUGCUGCAGCUGUAGCUCUGAGUCCCCCCAGCCCAACCCCACCCACCCCACUGCACCCACUGCCCACCCCUCAGUGCCACAUCCCCGCAGCUCUGAACACCUCCAUGGACGGGGACUGCCCACCCCUGGGCAGCUGUGCCAGCGCCUGGCCGCUCUCUGGAGCAGACAUUGCUCUGAUAGCCAACCUGACCCUCCCUGGCAUGAGUCUGGGUACUGCCCAGAGUGUAACCUUGGCCACACAGCACAGCCCAACCCUCCUGAGAAGGUAACAGCUGUCGUCAGGAGCUCCGACCCUGUAAGCAAGGGGAGGACAGUGGAGAAAACUUCUUUACUUUUUGUUUCAUUUUGUCACCUAUGCCUACAUGCUUAGAGAUGAACACGAUUUGGCGGUACAUACAUUUUGUAUAACAAUAAGCAGAUGGAACAUUUAAGAUGAGAGAAUUAAGCCUCGUAAGAAAGCGCAAGAGCAAAUGUGAAGUUGAUAGGGUGGAUGUAUUAUUGAUGAAAAU
ensembl:lncRNA